GCCGUGCUGGUCAGCGGCGGAAGGGCCCGGUCACCUCGUACGUGAUCCCGCCCGUCCCGGCGGUCUCGCCGCUGGUGCCGCGC
rnacentral:tRNA from 1 species